CGGGUGAGUAACGCGUGGGAAUCUACCUAGUAGCGGAGGAUAACUCGGGGAAACUCGAGCUAAUACUGCAUACGCCCUACGGGGGAAAGCGGGGGAUCUUCGGACCUCGCACUAUUAGAUGAGCCCGCGUGAGAUUAGCUUGUUGGUGAGGUAAAGGCUCACCAAGGCGACGAUCUCUAGCUGGUCUGAGAGGAUGAUCAGCCACACUGGGACUGAGACACGGCCCAG
rnacentral:rRNA from 1 species